AUCUGAAAUGGCUUGUCCCUGAACCCGUUGCACUUUUAUCAGUGUUUCUCCUCUGCUGUUGUUAUGUAUUUCCCUCCACUUGCGUGUCCAACCUUUCUGCCCCCCCAGCCAGCACACAUACACACACACACAUCUGUAGAACCUGCUAUUUUCACUUAGGCAGUGGCAAUAAUAUAUUGGCUCGCUUUCAAUCCAUUAUCACCUUAACAUCCCACAAAACAAUCGUUUUGUCUGCUAUAGAAAAAAGACGCAGUAAUUCCUUCUGAUGUUUGGAAGCAUCAAUCGUUACUAAGUAGCACGGUCUCUUUGUUAUUUUGGCCGGUGUGAAGUAUUUCUUCGGGCAUAUUUUGUAAGGAGAAUGUAAUUGUAUGGAAAUUAUUACAUUUAAAAACUUUAGUUUAUUAUCCAGACUGUGCUGCAAAGAGUUCGUGCAGUCUGUAGGGCAACAUAUUUCACUUGUUUGCAAUAGCAAACCGACCGAGUGAAAAGGACAAUUUUGUUACGUACCGAGUCGCGGAAAAAGGUCCCUAGUAAAGUUGUGUUAACACCUUUCAUCUCCUCCCUCAUUCUGCAAAGUAUGAAAGUCGCUCAGACUAUGCAUCUUCUUUUUGAAGUCUUGGUGAGUAUGAUGGCGAACCUGCGAUAGUGCCACAGUGUACUUUAGACACUGGCCGUCAGAGCACUAUGAGGAAAGCACUGUGCUUGGUGUAUACGCCGGGUUGCUAUAGUUACAGUUCAGCAGCCUGCCUUUAUGUAUAAGGGUUACUCAAAGUAGUACUAGAUGAGAGAUUAUUUUUAUCUUAACUACAAAACCCAAUGAAAUCCUGGGUUCACCCAUUAAAACUUUCCCAACGUUUCCCAGAUAAUCUUUAAACCAGAAUACGAUCGGUGCCACCUUUUAACUGCUGACAAUCUUACGGUCUUUGGCCAGCAUUACUACUUUGAAAGUGAAAGACUUUACUUUGCCGCCGCAACAGGUGGACAUCGCAACAAAAAUCAGUAAACGUUUAUCACCAUCAGGGUGGGAUGUGAAAGAGCAGUCCUGCUUAGGUUAUACUUCGUCUUCUCUACAAUCAUGAACAGGAUAAAACAGGAUCUUUCAAGUGUGCCAGAUUUUGCCUCAGUUUUUGCCCUGUUCCUUAUAAAAAGUUUGAUUUUCUGGUAACUCACAAAGUAUCCCAGUCAUUGUUCAGAAGUGUAUUUGGACUUCUUGGGACAUAUUUUAGCCAACUGAAGUAUACAAGCACAGAAAGUGAGGUUUAAUGUAAAUCCUGGAGUAAAACCAGUUGAACAGAAUGAAUGAAGUGUACAGAAUCUCCUGUUCAGAGAGGAUCCAGCAGAUGGAGCAGGAGCUUGCUUUGCAUCUCAAUGAGCUCAAGAUAGAGAUUGAGGAAAAUGGGAUCCUCAAACAAGCACCGUCACAGUCCUACAGGUACUUCUGCACUGUACAAUAACAUCUGUCAUGUUCAGUGAUUACUGUCAGUAUAUCAUCUUGGAAUGUCCUGAUGGAUGCAAAAUCCCUUAUAAGCAGAAAGGUCCUGAAGCUACAGUAGAAAAAGAAUGAAAAUCUGAAGUGAAACUGUGCAUUUGGGUGGUGGUGGUGGGGGGCAGUUAGCAUACUAGUACUGAUAUUAAGAUAAUGAGUUGCCUUUUUAUGGAGAUGCUGUUUUAUCCAAUUACAUAUUCACCUUUUUCAUUUCUGUUACAAUGAAUGACCUUCACUAAAUUUUACUCAUGAGUGCUUCAUUCAUAAUGAUUAGAGGAAGUCAAGGGCAGUCCUCUAGAAAUAAUAAAAAUCUGUAGAGCAGUGGAAUCCUUGGUGAGUCUUGGCUUGCUAUAUGUGACAU